GGCGCCCAAGCCUGGGGGCGGGAGAGCGGCGCGGAGCCGCAGCCUCGACACGGUCUCCUCUGCGCUCCCGAAGUUGCCUCUCCAGUGUCUCCUCCUCUCUCUUUCCUUUUGCCCUGCAGAUGUUUAGGUGGUUUGGCUAUUCUUUGCAGUUCCAUAAAAGUUUUAGCAUCAGCCUGUCAAUUUCUACAAAAAGUCCUGUUGGGAGUUUGACUUUAAUUGCAUUGAGUCUAUAGAUUAAUUCAAGGACAGUUGACAUCUUUAUGAUACUGAGUCUUCAGAUCCAUGAACAAGCUGAGCCAUGCAGCAUGCAGGAUCUUCCCC